CCUACGGGAGGCAGCAGUGAGGAAUAUUGGUCAAUGGACGAGAGUCUGAACCAGCCAAGUAGCGUGAAGGAUGACUGCCCUAUGGGUUGUAAACUUCUUUUAUAUGGGAAUAAAACGUUCCACGUGUGGGAUUUUGUAUGUACCAUAUGAAUAAGGAUCGGCUAACUCCGUGCCAGCAGCCGCGGUAAUACGGAGGAUCCGAGCGUUAUCCGGAUUUAUUGGGUUUAAAGGGAGCGUAGGUGGAUUGUUAAGUCAGUUGUGAAAGUUUGCGGCUCAACCGUAAAAUUGCAGUUGAAACUGGCAGUCUUGAGGACAGUAGAGGUGGGCGGAAUUCGUGGUGUAGCGGUGAAAUGCUUAGAUAUCACGAAGAACUCCGAUUGCGAAGGCAGUUCACUGGACUGCAACUGACACUGAGGCUCGAAAGUGUGGGUAUCAAACAGGAGUAGAUACCCGGGUAGUC
rnacentral:rRNA from 1 species